AAUGAACGCUGGCGGCAGGCCUAACACAUGCAAGUCGAGCGAGCGGCGGACGGGCGAGUAAUGUAUGGGGAUCUGCGUGACAGAGCCGGAUAAGUACGGGAAAAGGUGGCUAAAAGCGCAUACUAUCGGAUCAACCCAUAUGGGAUGAGCUAGUAGGGGGGGUAAAGGCUCACCGAGGCGACGAUGGCUAGCUGGUCUGAGAGGGUGAUCAGCCACACUGGGACUGAGACACGGCCCAGACUCCUACGGGAGGCAGCAGUGGGGAAUAUUGGACAAUGGGCGCAAGCCUGACGCAGCCAUGCCGCGUGUAUGAAGAAGGUCCUAGGGUUGUAAAGGACUGGCAUUCGGGAGGCGUUACCGACACAGAAAGCACCGGCUAACUCCGUGCCAGCAGCCGCGGUAAUUC
rnacentral:rRNA from 1 species